GAUGAAGAACGCAGCGAAAUGCGAUACGUAAUGUGAAUUGCAGAAUUCAGUGAAUCAUCGAGUCUUUGAACGCACAUUGCGCCCCCUGGUAUUCCGGGGGGCAUGCCUGUCCGAGCGUCAUUGCUGCCCUCAAGCACGGCUUGUGUGUUGGGCCUCCGUCCUCCUCCCGGGGGACGGGCCCGAAAGGCAGCGGCGGCACCGCGUCCGGUCCUCGAGCGUAUGGGGCUUCGUCACCCGCUCUUGUAGGCCCGGCCGGCGCUUGCCGACACAUCAAUCUUUUUUCAAGGUUGACCUCGGAUCAGGUAGGGAUACCCGCUGAACUUAAGCAUAUCAAUAAGCGGAGGA
rnacentral:misc_RNA from 1 species